rnacentral:rRNA from 1 species
AGAGAGAGACAUGCGCGCAUAUCAAUAAGCGGAGGAAAAGAAACUAACUAGGAUUCCCUCAGUAACGGCGAGUGAAGCGGGAAGAGCUCAAAUUUGAAAUCUUCAAGGUUCUACCUUGACGAAUUGUAGUUUAAAGAAGUGUUUUCUGCUGAAGUUUUGGUAAAAGUUCUUUGGAAUAGGACAUCAUAGAGGGUGAGAAUCCCGUAUUUGACCAUUAUUUUCAGCUUUGUGAUACACUUUCAAAGAGUCGGAUUGUUUGGGAAUGCAGUCCAAAAUGGGUGAUAAAUUUCAUCUAAAGCUAAAUAUUGGCGAGAGACCGGAUAGCGAACAAGUACCGUGAGGGAAAGAUGAAAAGAACUUUGAAAAGAGAGUUAAACAGUACGUGAAAUUGUCAAAAGGGAAGCGUUUGACACCAGUGUUGUUUUCUCGAAAAUCAAUUAAAAAUGGCUCGAUUUUGUAUUGUUGAGACCUUAAAAGCUCACUGUACAUUUUUCGUGUCCUUUUUAAUGCACUUUUCGUUUAACAAGUCAACAUCAGUUUCUUUUGUUGUAAAAGGGUCAUUGGAAGGUGGCUUUCUUUUCGGAGAAAGUGUUUAUAGCCUUUGGCCUCUGCAAUCGGAGAGACUGAGGUCUGCAGCGUAGACUCUUCGGGGUUAGAUACAUUUGUGCUAAGUUAUAGCUUUUUAUAGACAACUUGUUGACUAUAAUUAGUCUUGUAGCUUACUCGCUUAUGCUAUUUUACCUACGCUUAGGAUGUUGAAGAUGUAGCACAUCAU